rnacentral:rRNA from 1 species
GACGAACGCUGGCGGCGUGCUUAACACAUGCAAGUCGAACGGAAAGGCCCUGCUUUUGUGGGGUGCUCGAGUGGCGAACGGGUGAGUAACACGUGAGUAACCUGCCCUUGACUUUGGGAUAACUUCAGGAAACUGGGGCUAAUACCGGAUAGGAGCUCCUGCUGCAUGGUGGGGGUUGGAAAGAUUCGGCGGUUGGGGAUGGACUCGCGGCUUAUCAGCUUGUUGGUGGGGUAGUGGCUUACCAAGGCUUUGACGGGUAGCCGGCCUGAGAGGGGGACCGGCCACAUUGGGACUGAGAUACGGCCCAGACGCCUACGGGAGGCAGCAGUGGAGAAUAUUGCACAAUGGGCGGAAGCCUGAUGCAGCAACGCCGCGUGCGGGAUGACGGCCUUCGGGUUGUAAACCGCUUUCGCCUGUGACGAAGCGUGAGUGACGGUAAUGGGUAAAGAAGCACCGGCUAACUACGUG